CCUACGGGAGGCUGCAGUGGGGAAUAUUGGACAAUGGGGGGAACCCUGAUCCAGCCAUGCCGCGUGUGUGAAGAAGGCCUUUUGGUUGUAAAGCACUUUAAGCGAGGAGGAGGCUACCGAGAUUAAUACUCUUGGAUAGUGGACGUUACUCGCAGAAUAAGCACCGGCUAACUCUGUGCCAGCAGCCGCGGUAAUACAGAGGGUGCAAGCGUUAAUCGGAUUUACUGGGCGUAAAGCGCGCGUAGGUGGCCAAUUAAGUCAAAUGUGAAAUCCCCGAGCUUAACUUGGGAAUUGCAUUCGAUACUGGUUGGCUAGAGUAUGGGAGAGGAUGGUAGAAUUCCAGGUGUAGCGGUGAAAUGCGUAGAGAUCUGGAGGAAUACCGAUGGCGAAGGCAGCCAUCUGGCCUAAUACUGACACUGAGGUGCGAAAGCAUGGGGAGCAAACAGGAUUAGAUACCCCGGUAGUC
rnacentral:rRNA from 1 species